AUAACCGCAGGCACCAGGGAGACUCGGCUACGAACCGAGCGGUCGGAGGUUCGAAUCCUCCCGGAUGCACCA
rnacentral:tRNA from 1 species